GUGUGCGCGUGCGCGUGUGGGCGUUUUCCGCAUUCAUGGUCGACCCCCCCUCCCUGCGCAGAGCACGCAUCCUGCGCAUUUUCCCGUCGCAGAACUGGUACUGGUUCGCUCUCGUGACGACGGCGCAUUUGGACAUCUGACAGCCACACCGGGUCCAGAGUUUGGAGGACCACUUGAUGCUGGUUUUUAAUUAGCCAGGAGUGGACUACCAAAGGACGAGCGGGAUUGAAGUCAACAUGGCAGUGUUCAAACCUGAAAAUGUGGAAGACUUCUUUGAGAUCGGGGAAGUUCUGGGAAGUGGGCACUUCGGUCAGGUUCGACAGGUUCGUGAACGGGCCACUGGGACUUGUUGGGCGGGCAAGUUUCUGAAGAUUCGGAAGAUUGCCUGCAGCCGUCUGGGCGUGGACAGGAGCAGUGUGGAGAGGGAGGUGGAGAUCCUACAGACUCUACGCCAUCCAAACAUUGUGACUCUCAAAGAUGUUUUUGAGAGCCGAGCUGAAGUGGUGCUCAUUCUGGAGCUUGUUAGUGGAGCAGAGCUGUUUGACUUCAUUGCUGAGAAGGAUAACCUGUUGGAGAGUGAAGCCAUUGAGUUCAUGAAGCAGAUCUUGGAAGGAUUGGGAUUCAUGCACAGCAAGAACAUUGCCCACUUUGACCUCAAGCCAGAAAACAUCAUGCUGUCAGACAAAGUCUCACCAAAUCCGAACAUCAAACUCAUUGACUUUGGCCUGGCCCACUGUUUUCAUCAGGGUGAGGAGUACAGGAGCUCAAGUGGCACCCCACAGUACAUCGCCCCUGAGGUGAUCAACAGUGAACCUCUGAGUACAGCAUCAGAUAUGUGGAGCAUUGGAGUUAUUACCUACAUACUAUUGAGCGGUUUGUCACCAUUCCAAGGUGAGACUGAUGAAGAUACUCUGAAGAAUGUCAUUGCCAUGAAGUAUGAGUUUUUUGAACGGUAUUUCAGCACGACCAGCUCCAUGGCCAAAGACUUUAUCCUGAAACUCUUGGUGAAAAAUCCCAAAGAUAGGAUGACAGCUGAGGAGUGUCUGCUUCAUCCAUGGAUUAAGCCCAUCACACGCAAACAGGUGGCCAAUAGAAAUCGAUCCUCAAUCAAUAUGAAGAAUUUCAAGAAGUUCAAUGCCAGAAGGAAAUGGAAGAUGUCCUUUAACAUGGUGCUAAUGUGUAACCGACUGGUCCAGCUGAAACUGCUGUAUAAGGGCAGAUCAGAUCCAGAUCCACUGCAGAGACAAUGUGAAAGCGACACAGAGGACACAGAGAGCAAGCCUACCUCUCUGCUGCGUCGAAGACUCAGCAGCAGUUCAUAGAGCUGAGCAGGGAGAGAUGGCAGCACAGCAAGAGGGCCAGGCUGGAGGGAGAGGUUUUGUCUUACCAGUUGGUGGUCCCGCCGACUCCUGAUCCUCUGUCAGCCGGACCGGCCGACCUCUGUUCCUGUUCUCUCUGGGCUUCAGCGGCCUAAUGUGAGUUCCAGCCUUCACAGGCGUUCCCCUGCUUAGCAUCCUGAGGAACCCAACAUUCAUCCUUGGCUUCAGUGCCGGCCUCCAGCUCUGCCCCCUCGUGAACUCUUCUUCACCAUCGCCCUCUCGCUCGACUUCUGGGGAGGUACAGCAUCGUCUGUCUGCUCAGCCCCCAAUCCAUCCUCCUAUGUGGCUCGCCUGUCUCUGUUACUUUCUUGUGACCCCUUCUGUGUUGUUGGUUCCUGUUUUAUUUUGACAUUUCACUUCCAUUUGCCACUUCACUUUUUCUUUUCAACAGUGCUUUACUGUCUUUGAAGCCUGAAGAAAGCCAGAGUGUUUUCCAGCAUUCUGGUGGAAUUUUCCCACUGUACCACAGAUUAUAUUCUCUAACUGCAUAUCAGGCUGGUAGAUCAUGGUGAGCGGAUGAUCCACCCAGUGGAUCACCAGUAAAAUAAAAAUCGAUAUUUAUUAGAAACAUCUCAUCCCAAGGUGUUACAGGUGCCUCUGCUCUCACACCACUAGGCUCAGGGAGAGCUUUGUUCCUAUAGCCUACAUUAAUUAUGUGGAUCAGUACUAAUUUUACACAGACAGAAACACGACACUAAUUACAUGUGUACAUAUGCGUUCCUUAAUUGUUACUCAUAUUAUAGCCAUUUCAUCUCUCAGUUGAAUAUACAGGCCUCUUUCUUGGGAGACAUUGGAUGUCACUGAGAAAAGCACUGGUUUAAAUAAUUACAUUAAUUAGAACAGAGUCAUCAUUGAUAUUUUCAGUCCUUUCCUACAUAAUCUGGAGAACUUCUCUCUUUGUAUUAGUGGUUAGAUUCUGACUGCAUUUAAUUGGUUCUGUAUGUUCUGCUUCUUACAGCUGUUUUUGCUUAUGACAUGAAGUUUAGAACAAAAUUAAACAAAUAUUAAAAAAUUAUUGCAAAAAAUUUAGUAAGUUUCGGUCACAAUAGUUGCAAAAACUAUUAAGGACUAAGUACUAUACACAACUAUUAUACUAUUGUUUAAAGUGCAAAAAGAGAUGAUAAAAACUAAUGUGUAACAUGGACAGCCAUAGACACAGAUGCAUUAACUGAAACAUGUAUUCUUCUUUUAUUUAACACCAGUACAGAGCAGUGAAGAGAAACAUCCAAUUAACAAUAGCUUUUAGGUGACCAGAGAAGGGACAAGAUCUGCCGAGACAUUGAAAAAGUAGUAAAACAUUACAACAGGCACACAGAUUUCAACAGUUGAGGAAUGAAGAAACAUAGAUGAGAUGAAAAGGGUAGAGGGUGGCAGUUGGGUUGUGGACGGUGCAGACUGAGGAAAAAAUUUAACCAAGAGAUGAUGUUGAACUGUAAAAGGCUGAGUCCUGAAACCACAACCUGGCAGAAGGAUGGACCCUCAGGACGUUCAGCUGAAAUCACAAGAAGGAAAAGGUGGGGUUUAGGUGUAUGUCUUAACCAACCAUGACAAACGAGGAAACUAUUUCACAAAAAGUCUGUGGAGAUUCUCAUUCAUCCAGGUCAUAUCUCCACAAGGGUGUUGAAUCAGCAGAAACUAGACUUGGGAAGCCUCUUGGAUGUAGGUGAAACGUCUUCAAGAAACUACAAUGAAGUCCAGUUACUCCUGAUUCAACACCCUUGUGGAUAUUUCACAAAAUUUGCAAGUGAAGGACACAUUUCACUUAAGAUUGUUGGUGGCACAGUUGUGAGCAUUGCAAGGCUUUUGCAUGCUUGCGCAUGUCUUUUUUUAUUUUAUUUUAUCAGCUUCACGAAAUAUAUCAGAAUGAGAGUAAGGUGCAAUGAUAUAUUGUUUCAAAUCUCAGCUUGAAAUUUUACAAAUAUGGUGAAAUGGAGCCCAGAUGCUUUGCUUAUAAUUAGAUUAACAUUUAUCAUUACCAGUUUUAGUAAGUGAAUAAAAGUCAUGAUAAGCUCUAAUGUCUGCCUUUAGCAAAAUAGACUCAGGUUAAUGUCCUUUUGUUUAUUAUAAUGCUAAUUCACUGGAAAACUCAUGCAGUAAAGCGAUAGCCAGGAAUAUGAUUAAUUGAUAUGACUAUGAUAAAUCCCUUGAAUUCUUUACUAGUUAACAUUGUUUACAUCUUGAUACUCUUCUGUGGAUUUAGUUGUAAAAUAGGUUAUUAUGGCUUGAAAGGGGGUCAUGUCAUGUCAUGUUGUAAAGGAUGUUGUACAAGGUUUUUCUUCAGUUCAUUGAAAACUGCUGUCUUAAAUGUAUCAGUCAUGGUUUGGAUGUUCCGUGUUCUUCAGUAAUACGUCCACUUGAAAUAUGAAUUUACUGAAUGCCCGGUGUUUGUUUGGCAGUAUAAUGAAAGCUCCAUUGAAGACCCAACCUCCGCAAACUAGAUGGCUGGUAUGCUGUUUUUGUCAGACCUCUCACCUGAGACUAAAUCAUAUUGGUUGAACCUCACUUGGAGCUAAUGGCUCAGUGUGUUUGAGGGACACAAACCUCUUCAUCACAGGGCAAUAGCACAAGGAGAAGAUUUCUGAUGAGCCCUUCUCCUUCAACUUCCCUAGAUGUACCGAUUGAUUUGAAAGGGCCUUAGACUGGGUAUAGAUUUGAUACAGUUUGGUAAAAAAAAAGUUUCCUGCUUUACCCUGGCCGAAUUCAGGCCCAAUAUAAUCUAUAUCUGAAACACUUUACUCAGCAGGAAAGCUGCAUGACCCCCCUUUUACUCUAGCAUUCAAGAUAUACAACAGUUCAAUAUAGUCCAGUGAAUGAACUUCAAUUGAAUUAUUUUUAUGACUUUAGGGUCAGAGGUAAAACAGUCUCUUCCUUUAACCAGAGUAUGAGAUGCACCAGUCAACACUCUUUUUCAAUCUGGUCAUAAGUUAUUUUUAAAAUUCUUUGUUAUUGUGAUGUACAACUACAUCUUUAUUCAAUUGGGAUAUUAAUUAAUUUCAAUUAUAUAAUUCUUACUAUGACAAAGACAACAUGCAGAAUGAUUUGAUCUCACGUUAGAUAAUGUUUAUGUCAUUGAGUCAAUAAAAUUGAAUUGAAUAUCACA